rnacentral:rRNA from 1 species
CGGGUGAGUAACACGUAUGGCAACCUGCCUGCCACAGCCGGAUAAUCGGGAGAAAUUCCGUCUAAUACGGCAUAAUGCAUCGACGGGACAUCCUGUUGGUGCCAAAGGUUGAUUCCGGUGGCGGAUGGGCAUGCGUCGCAUUAGUUAGUUGGCGGUGUAACGGACCACCAAGACGACGAUGCGUAGGGGUUCUGAGAGGAAGGUCCCCCACACUGGUACUGAGACACGGACCAGACUCCUACGGGAGGCAGCAG